AGGACGAACGCUGGCGGCGUGCCUAACACAUGCAAGUGGAGCGACGAACCAGGCUUCGGCCUGGGGCAGAGCCGCGAACGGGUGAGUAACACGUGGGUAACCUGCCCUGAUGAUUGGGACAACCCGAGGAAACUCGGGCUAAUACCGAAUGUGCCCUCCGGCCUCAAGGCCGCUGGGGAAAGGAGCUUCGGCCUCCGCAUCGGGAUGGGCCCGCGGCCCAUUAGCUUGUUGGUGAGGUAACGGCUCACCAAGGCGACGAUGGGUAGCUGGUCUGAGAGGACGAUCAGCCACACUGGGACUGAGACACGGCCCAGACUCCUACGGGAGGCAGCAGUGGGGAAUCUUGCGCAAUGCGCGAAAGCGUGACGCAGCAACGCCGCGUGGGGGAAGACGGCCUUCGGGUUGUAAACCCCUUUCAGUUGGGACGAUUGUGACGGUACCUGCAGAAGAAGCACCGGCCAACUACGUGCCAGCAGCCGC
rnacentral:rRNA from 1 species